UACGUAGGGUGCAAGCGUUGUCCGGAAUUAUUGGGCGUAAAGAGCUUGUAGGUGGUUUGUCGCGUCUGCUGUGAAAAUCCGAGGCUCAACCUCGGACUUGCAGUGGGUACGGCAGACUAGAGUGGUGGUAGGGGAGACUGGAAUUCCUGGUGUAGCGGUGGAAUGCGCGAGAGUAUCAGGAGGAACACCGAUGGCGAAGGCGGGUC
rnacentral:rRNA from 1 species